AUAUAGGGCUGUUCACAGGGCAAGAUUUGGUCCGGUGCUACGGCGGGGCUGCCCCAGUAGAGCGUUCACACGUGCAAAUUAGCUCCGGCGUAGCCCCGGAAAAAGGCUUACACCGGACCAAAUUUGAUCCACCUCAGGGAGGUGGGUCAAAUAUUUGCUCCGGAGCAAAUGCUCGUUUGCGAAGCAGCACCGGUGUAAAUUUGCACGUGUGAACGCAACUGGGUUAAAUUUGCUCCAGAGCAAAUGC